ACUUAUUUAGUAUAAUAGUAUAUUUGGCUUCCAACCAAAAGGUCUGGGUUCCAGAUUAAGUA
rnacentral:tRNA from 1 species